rnacentral:lncRNA from 1 species
UGGCGGCCAUCCACGACGCCAUGGCCGUGGUGGCAGCCAUCCACACACACCCGGCACCCUAGAAGAGGCCCCCGACCCCGCAGACUCCUCCCGAACCCUAGCCGCCUCUCCUCCCUCUACCCCGCUCACACCCGUCGUCGUCCGCGACCCCAUGGCCUUCUCGCCGUGAAGCUCGCGCCCUCCGUCGAUCCCGUGCCCGGAGUCCAUGUCCUGCAGCUCCGUCAGCCUCCUCUACGUCGUCUACGACCACCACCUCGAGCUCUAUGCCUCUACAUCGCCGGGAUCGACGUCGUCUUCCUCACCUACAGCCGCCGUUGCCUCAUCCGAUCUACCUCACCGGAGCUCCUCCGCCCCGUCCGACGCGUCCUCCACCUUCCCCUGUGAGCGGCACCUCCAUUUCCCUUGUCUCCCUUAUGUUCAUCGCCUCGUGUCGCCGUCCUGUGUCGCGUGAGUUUCGGCUUGUGGUCGUGGUCACCGCGACCGUGCCCAUCCCCGCGUGUGUGUCCGGCGCGCUCUGCCUCACCUUUGUCUGCGCCCUGCCGCGUACUGGUCUCCCCGGGGCACAGCCUGGCCACACCCAGGUGCGUGCCCGCUGCUCGCCGCGUCGCGCCUGAUGCCCCCGUUGCUGCCAUUUGCUGCUUGCUGUCGCCCGGUGCGCGCCCGCGUUUGUCUCUGCUGAUGUGUUGCUGCUGUGCCUAGGCCACCCCGCUGUGUCGCCGCGUGUGCGUGCGCGUCAUCCUUGCUCUGUUGCUCUUUAUGAGCUAUUGUCCACUGCAGCUACUUCUUCUCGCUGUUGCAGCCCCGCCGCUACCUCCUGCUAUGUUGCACGCCCUUGGCCACUCCGGCCUAGCUCGCCGCUGCUGCUUUUAUGCCUACCUGUUUGCCGCUAUACACUGCUGUUAGCUACCGCUGCCCAGGCCACAGCACUGCUGUUUUGCAAGUAGUUGCUGCUAGCGAUGGCCAUGGCAAAGGCCACGGGCGUACGUGCCUGUGAGUGUGGAGCGUGAGUGUGUGUGUGCUUGUGAGUGAGAGCGUGAGUGUGUGAGUCGUGUGUAGCUUAGUGGGUUAGUAGUAAUUAAUAAUUAGUUUAACUAGUUAGUUUAACUCAUAGCCUAUGUCAAGUGGAGCCUCGGCUAAGUUAAUUUAAUUAAGUAGCGUAGUUUAGUUGCUGCCUAUGAUAUGUGAGCCACACCCAUCCCAUUUGACUAGUAAGUUGACUUGGUCAAACUCGUUUUAAACGAUUUUAGAAAAUCAAAUAAGCUUCAGAAAAUCAUAUCUAAAUCAUACAAACUCGAACGAAAAUAAUUUAUAUAUAAAGGAUGAUCAGAAAAAUAUAACGAAUCUGAAUAUGCCAUCCAUAUACCUGCCACACCUCUCUAACAUGAUGCACAUGAACAUUUUGCAUCAGGAUCGUCUGUCCGAAAAUUACCUGGAGCCGGGAAUAUAUUGCGGGAUAUUUUGCCUCUUCUUUUAAAAUGCUUAAGGAUGCAUUAGAGCAUGUCACCCACACAUCUUGUCGUGCCAUUGCAUUUGUGUUGCAUUUAAUUGUUCUGUUAUUUAUUGUGUUUCCCCUCCAUUACUUUCUUUCCGGUAGACCCCGAGACCGAUGAUGAUCCGGUGAUCGACUACUUCCCGGUCGAGGAUCCGUAUCUGUCUGCAGAGCAGCAAGGCAAGCAAACCCCCCUUGAUCAUUCCUAUAUCGCCUAUGUCUUUCUUCCUACUGCUUGCAUUAGUAUUUUGCUACUGUUGUAGUUAGCUCCUAUAUCUGAUGCAUAGCCUGUUUUUGAUGAACUGCUACUUUCAGUCCUGUAUCCUUAAUAUGCUUAGUAUAGGUAGAGCAGUCAUCCCCUCUGACCCCGUAGUCCAGUUGCCCCGCUUGUUUUCAAAUCUCGAUCUCUGAUCGACGAGCCAGACCCGACACNNNNNNNNNNNNNNNNNNNNNNNNNNNNNNNNNNNNNNNNNNNNNNNNNNNNNNNNNNNNNNNNNNNNNNNNNNNNNNNNNNNNNNNNNNNNNNNNNNNNNNNNNNNNNNNNNNNNNNNNNNNNNNNNNNNNNCAGAGAUACUAUCGGGUACCGAGGGUGACACCUCACUAAGUACUCCUGAUGAUAUCUCUGUAGUAUAGCUAGUCGGUCGUGGUUAUCGAGGGUGAUUCCUCUUUCACCAUUCCCGAUGACGCCUCUGUCGUGCAACCCCUCAAGUGUGGGACCCCCGAGGGUGAUUCCUCUAAGCCCACCUUGACGGGUACAUCGUUCGGAAUCCAACGAGGGUGAUACCUCGGAUUCCCCCCGAUGUUACGACCACACAGUUACUCGGCCAUGUUACUGGGAUCAUUGGUGAUUAGUUGUAAGACGGGUGGAUUCCCGUGAAACUGUGUUGCUGGCCUAAUUAAAAUGCUAAUGGAUUUGGGUAUUUGAUCUGGGUUGGUCGGAGACCUUUUCGCACUAACCGGCUACGCGGGAAGAAUUAUGGGUACUCGGCGUCGCGGUAUCAGCCGAAGCUUUUCAGAUGCCAGCAAUGUAGCGGCGCGCGUGCGAGUGGUCCCGAGAUGCAUCGCGCUUGUGAUUAAGGGGUGCUAGGACUGACAUCAGCCGCCCACGCCACAUGCAGGAGCGUGAAGGGGAACUGGGCCCAUGAACCCUUUGUGCUUAGGAUUUAGACCGGCGGGCCGGCCUCUCUGAUUUGUCUUAGGUGGGGCUGCGACGUGUCGAUAUUCCGAGGCCGGGCAGGACCCAGAAAAGUAUGUCCGGUCAGAGUGUUAUCGAGCGUGACGGGACAUGUGGUGCACCCCUGCAGGGAUGAAAAUUAACUAUUUGGAUAGCCGUGUCCACGGUUACAGGACGACUUGGAGUUGUGCCCCGAUCUUAUACAACUACAAUUGUUACUUAACUGGAAUUAGUUUGCCUCGGGAUUGCUUCCUCGCAGGGAGUCGAGGGAGGUUCUUUAGGCGUGACCUCACUUUAAUUUUGCUGCAACAAUAUGACUAUUAAUGUUUUACCCGUGUUCUACUCUCGUCUGUUGCUGCAAGACCCUGAAGAUGCUAGUCUUCGAUAGGACCAGGCGUUCUCUCUCUAUUCUCGCAUUGCUGCACUCAGUCCACAUAUAACCCCCUUCUUUGAUACUGGUGCAUAAUUAGAAUAGUUCUGAUGUAAGACUUGCGAGUACUUUGGAUGAGUACUCACCGCUGCUUUGCUCCCCCCUUGUCCCCUUGAUCCGUUUGCUGCGACCAGAUGAUGGAGCCCAGGAGAUGGAGGUCCCCGCCACCGACGACUGCUACCCCGAUGGUGCCUACUACUACGUGGAGGCCGCUGAUGAUCAGGAGUAGUUAGGAGGUUCCCAGGCAGGAGGCCUCGCCUCGUUCCAUCGUUGUAUCUUUUGUGCUAGCCUUCUCUAAGGCACCCCAUGUUUUAUGUCCGUACUCAGAUAU